CUGACCAAAUGUGGCCUUGCUGUUUUCUUCCUAUAUUUCUGGAGAAGAUGCUUUCAUUUGCCCAGAGAGAAUUAGGCCUGGAGUUUAGGCCUGAAGUGGCGAGAUUCUCCCAUGGCAGACUCUACUUGGCAGUUAGAAUCUGAAUUUUUUACGAUGGAAGGACCCGAGAAAUGGUCUUGUUGGAUUCCUUCAUUUUCCAGCUAAGAAGACACAGUCCCAAAUCCCAGGGCGUGCCCCAAGCAGCCUUUGGAUCUCUUUCUAGAUUGGCUGUGCUCCUUCCCAUCACUGCCUUACACCUCAGUUCUGGGUGACACAGAUGCCAAAGCUUGGUGUAAGCAAAUGGUGGAGAUGGAGUUGUUUCCCCACCCUGGGAGAGUGCCAAUUAUGAAACCAAGUCCAAAUAGGAACGAGAUAAUAUACUCCAGUCCAAUCCACCCAUGGAAAAUCUCAGAAACC